AUUAACGCUGGCGGCAUGCCUAAUGCAUGCAAGUAGAACGAGGUGUAGCAAUACACCGAGUUGCGAACGGCUGAGUAAUGGAUAGGAAUCUCCCCAAUGGUGUGGAAUACCCCAUCGAAAGAUGGGCUAAUACCGCAUAACCUCGCAAGAGAAAAGCGCUUCACUGCGCGCCGAUGGAUGAGCCUAUCUCCCAUCAGGUAGUUGGUAGGGUAAUGGCCUACCAAGCCUAUGACGGGUACCCGCCCUGAGAGGGGAAACGGGCAGAAAGGGACUGAGACACGGCCCUUACGUCUACGGACGGCAGCAACAGGGAAUCGUACGCAAUGGACGAAAGUCUGACGUCGCAAUGCCGCGUGGAGGAUGAAGGCCUUCGGGUCGUAAACUCCUUUUAUAGUAAUAGAGAUGUUAUUAAGAAUAAGCACCUGCUAACUCUGU
rnacentral:rRNA from 1 species